CACCAGUAAUCGCCUCCUCUCUCCGUUCCUUUCUUCAUCACCGAAAUCAAAAUCCAUAUUCAUCCUAAUCAAUUUCCCCAAUUUCCCUACCUUAAACUUCUAAUAAUCUGUACUUCAUUUCGGAUUUAGGUUCAUAGUUUUGAUUUGAUUAAAUCACUUCAGAAACUGUAACCCUAAAUUGGAAUUAGGUGAUUAGAUUAAAUCACUUCAGAAGUAUCUCCACAAAUACUUCCAGAUUGUUUUGGUUAUUAAACUCAUCUUCUUCACUUCAGGUAACGCUUGAUUAACUGUUUGUAUUUUUUGUAAACGCCUAAUCGAUGGAACCACCACCAACAACAACAUCGUUCUCCGCCUUCUACACCCUAAAUUAACUGUUUGUAUUUUUCUAUCACAGGAUUUGGUGUGGAUUGAAUUUGUUGAAAUUUGGGUGUGGAUUGAAUUUUUUUUUCUUCAAUUUUAUGCCCUAAUCUAGCUCUAACAACAGUUCUUCCCAACUAUCCUGCGAUUUUCCUCCCAUUGAUUUUUACAUUUUUGCUUCUAUUUUCCCAAAUUCGAUAUUAUUCUUCAAUUUCAUGCCCUAAAUUAAAUACCCACCUAUUAUUCUUUUAUUGCUCUUAAUUUGAAUGGGUCGAUUGGGGUUAGGUCUAGACUCUAUACCACUUAAACCAUCUGAUCUUAUCCCUGCGAAGGUGAGUUAGAAAUCAUGUAUUUCUAAGUACAAAUCUGUAGAUUAAUUAACUUUUGCUUUAUCUGCUUGUGUUUUAAUGAUCUCAAUUAUAAUAAUUAGAUGAUAUAUUGGGUGCACUUUAGAGUUGGAGAUUUAAAGAGAACUUCCUGGUGAUGCUCAGGUUAAGUUAAUGUGUUCAUACUGUAAGAAACAUAAUGAGAAAUAAGUAAGCUACAUGAACAGCUGUUUGUGGAAAUACCCAGGAUUGGUAAGAAACUCAUUAUCCAAAAUCAGUAAACAAUCAAAGAUCAAAAUAGAUACUUUUUAUUUAUCAAAGUUCAGUCCAGGCUUUGUUUCGUUUGAAUUUUACAAUUUAGAGUUUGUAUAUAUUUAUCAUAGCCUAUGUAAGUUUCAGUAGAUACCACUGUAACAAUUAUGAAUUGAAGAGUUGAACUUCAGUUGGGUAUGAGUUUUAUUUCAUUUUUAGUUGUAGUAUAGAAAGAUUAGUUUGUGAACAUUUACCUGUUUGUGUAAAGGCCACAGAGGUUUGUAUAUAUCAGCACAGUUUUUAUCCAAAGCUUAUUUGGUUGUCAGUUGAUGUUUAGUUUGUUCUUUUGGCAGAUGCCAGGAGAGGUUGUUAUUAGAAAAAAACAACCGAAAGCUCAUGUUCUAUGUCUAGAUGUAGAUGGUAUAGAAGUAGAUGAACAUGGCAAUGUAGGGUUUUUUUCACAGUUUUGCUCUAUUUCCUCUUAUCGUUCAAAUGUUGUGGUGGUUAUGUUAUAUUAUACUUUGACUGACAUCUGCUCUCGCGUUAAGAGGUUUUAAUAUGGGAAGAUUGUUACGGGAAUGAUUCGUUCCAUGAGAAACGCCAUCCUCCUAACUUAUAUGCCCUCCCGAGUUGGCAUAUAUCCUCAAGUUGAUCCAUAUAAGUGUGAUUGAGAGGGUGGGGUGGAGUUUUAGAAUAUAUUGUGGCUUCAAAGGCUUUAACAGUUAAGAGACUAGAUGAAGUAUCAGCAGCCGAAGGCGUUAGCUUACCUAUUACAGGUCGCCACUUCAAGAGAGACGAGUUUUGGAAUUACAUGGAGGGUUUAGAUUUAAAUUGUUGUUUAUUUGAUUUCCUUCUAAAAGGUAGAGGAUUUACAGUCGUCCCACUUCUAAUUUUCAUUUGGUUGUAUUUCCUUUUGGAUUUCACUAUUUGUUUUUUUUUUCUUUUUCUAUUGGUCUGAAAUAUUUGCUUACUCGAACAAUGUUCAAAAUGGUGAAGUGGGGUCGACAUUUUUAUCUGAUUGUAAUAGUAAUAUAUUUAACCGACAAAUUGUUUUUAA